rnacentral:lncRNA from 1 species
AUAACAUCGAUCAUUCUCUUUCUCUCAGGUUACCUUUUUCUAGUUUUGCUUUCCUCCCAGUUUCCACUCCCUUCAUUUCUUUGUUAUUAAUCAAACUUUGCGAUUUGUGACUUUAAUUUCUUGUGCCGUUGGUUGUGAAUUUGGUUGGAACAGAGAUGGAAAUUGACAGAAGAGAGUGAGCACACAGAGGCACUUGGCAUAAAGCGUAUGCUAUUGCUUUUGCGUGCUCAUGUCUCUUUCUGUCAGCUUCCCAGUUCCACUGCCGGAUUAUUUUAAUUUCUUAUUUACUUCUCAUCCAUCUCUGGCCUGUGUUUCUUCCACUACUUGUAUUCUCUCUCUCUCUCUCUCUCUCUCUCUCUCGCUCCAAAUCUUUAAUCUUAAAGCCUUUGUGGGGCUUCAAAGCAACGCUUAAUUUGCUACUUUGAAAUCGGUAAGUGAUGAUUAUAUUAUAUAUAAAAAUUGUUUGAUAAUAUCGAAGCAUCAACUAAUACCUUGAAAGCGUGACUUUUGAUGGUGUUUUUCACGAAGCUACACAUAUAUUUGACAUUUACUGUGCGAAAUUAGCGGCAAAAACCUGGUAAUCAAGCAUAGAAUUAGCAUGGGAAUGGGAAUUUUGAAUGGGACCAUUCACGUUAUCUAUCUAGCUUAGUAUGGUCCUCCUAUUCUUCAUCGUCUUUCUAAUUCUCUAUUUGAUCUCCAUUUUUAAUUCCUGCGCAUGCGAUGUUCUUGACCCAAGAAUUGCUUCUGCUUGGACUUAAUUUGUUUUUUUCUUCUUCUUCACCUGAAUCUAGUGCUUGUACUGUGCACCUACCAAGCUAGUUCGAAUGGAUAUAUACAUAUAUAUAUAUAUAUAUGUAUAUAUGUUUUCUUUAUGGGUUUUUAUACAACCCUAUUUAGCUGCUCGAAUAGGGUUGCUUUUGCUUGUUUGUACAAUUUGAUUACAAAUGGUUUUUCCAAUCACUAGUCUUUGAUCUGGAUUUUUAUCGAACCCGGUACUUAAUUUCACACCCACUGCACAUUGGGUGUUUAUAUAUUUCUCGAAAUAUUGUGAUUGAAUGUGAUGAUUUAAGGGGUUAGAAUCUGCUUUUGUUAUCUGUGACUGGUUUGUCCAGUUGACUUUGCAGGAACGCUUAAGGAUUCAUUUUCGAACCGUCAACACAUUAUCAAGUGUAAGUUUUCUUCUCUCAGAAGAUAACUUGUCAAACAGGUUUGAAUUUGUUUUUACAGUGAGCAAAACUGAUCUGGUAGCCCAUUUGUUGCACCAUUUUAUGUAUACGAUCUACAUUUUAGUUAUUUGGGUUUUAUUGAUGUUUGUGUCUCUUAGACGCUGGUAACUAUUUCUAAUCCAAAGUCUCAAAUCUGUGACUUGCUGCAAUCAUGAAAUAAUUUCAAUCUUGUGUUCUUAUCUUGCAGUGAAGUUGGUUUCAUAUGUAAGACAGACGAUUAAUUUCGAGAUGAAAGAGGCUUUUGGCAAACCAGUAAUACUGAGAAAGACUGGUGAGUUGUUUUGGGCAUGGAUCUUAAUUACUCAAUUAAUUGAUCUUAAUUACUCAAUUAAUUGAUCUUAAUUACUUAAUUAAUUUCAGAAUUAUGUCAUGUAAUAAUAUUCCUUAUUACAUCUGGUUGGGCACUGGUUGUGCUUGUUGGUCUAAAUUAAAGUUGCAAUGGAGUGUAAUUGUGAAAUUGCUAUAUAAAUAUACCCAUUUUUAGUGGCUUGCCCUUGGAAGGCCUAAAUUGUUUCUUGUGUUCGGUAUCUCUAUAAUAAUAUAAUAUUAAUAUAAUUUGCAUGAUGGUGGUAGAAUUAAUUUUUUUAUUUAAAGAAACCAUAUAUAUCUUUGUUAGUUAAUUUUGUGUUACUGUUUGUUGCAUAUCUUUCGUGACAUUUCUUUAGCAAUUUUCUUUGCCAUUAUAAUUUUCAUGUAUCUAGACAUAAUGUGAUGUGAGGUCAUUGUUCUUUUCUCUGACGUUCUUCUAUGCUGUGAUGCAUUGCAUCCGGUUUUUAAAUUCUCUUUUAUAGACAACAGACUUCAGUCUGGGCCAUAGGAACAAAAUAUUUUUAUUAGUAGUUGGGUGUGCAAGCUUGAAGAGGACUAGUUUGUGUAUAAUUUUUGAAAGGAAGUUAUAGAGUCACGUUUAUACCAAACACAACCACUCAUUCACACUUUUUCAGUGCUAUGAAGGCAUGAUUCACUGAACUUUUUUCUAGCAAAUGGAUACCAGAUUUAACUAACUUGCCCGUGCGCAUGCGAGGCAUGUGAUGGAGUUCGACCCCCUUAGUUUCUAGGCUUCUAACUAUUAAGGCCACGAUAAGCUCCCCCUUUAAUUUUCCCUUGUUACUUAUCAAAUGAAGUUAUACAUUGGAGGACAUGUUUUGUGAACAUGUUUCACAUAUGUCGUUAAAGUUAACUUGUAGCUAAGCUAGUAAAAUUCAAAAUUUAGUAAGGGGGGAGAGCAGAUAAUCUUUUAUCUUUUCCGCAUGUGAUUGAGAUGCUUCCGAAGUACAAACAAAAAGAGAUUUUGGCUUCACUUCCUAUUGGGUUUGUUGUGUUCCUUGUGUACUAAUUGGCUCACCAUCCCAAUAACAUGUUACCGGCAUCAAGGUCCAACCUUGGGGGUUGGAGCUUUGGUGGUACUAUGCUCCUACAUUGUCUGUGAUGACCACUGUUGGACCAUUUUGCUGCGUUGAUGUGCCACCAUUACACGCAUGAUAUGUACUUACUGAAAGCAGCAGCUCAAAGCUUGGGGAUUUAUCUGAAGCAACCACACCACGUAAACAAACAAGAAAGCCCCACCGACCUAGAAAAAGAUUAUAAGGACUACAUGUCUCCAUUUCUGAUCUUUUGUUGAUCUAUUUGCUUGGUUGUUGCGUGCAUGAGAUAUUGAUGUUGAUGAUUAUCUGUAUCUUUUUAAAAUCUCUUAUUGUUAAAAAACAAAAAGUAGUUUGUGACUAGUGUUUUAUAAUAUUAUAGAGGCUUCUGAAACAAUUCAAUGAAUCCGAAUUGGUUGAUUUGGAAUCACUAUUCUAUGUGUGAUAUUUUGAUUGAUUGUUCCUGUGGUGAAUUCAUUGGUCUUUAUCAUAUACAUUUUUAACAAAGUAAAUUAUUUUUAUGACUUCUCUUACAGUACUUAUUGUGCUAGAGUUACUAAACAAGUAACUUGAGGAGCUAGAAAUGACUGCAAGAAAUAUUAUAGCAAGCUCUAGAUGGGAAUUAAUAAGGUAGAAUCUACUGGGAAGAAGUUAAAGAGGAAAAACAAUCUCGCUUUCUUAAAAUUUCAAACUCAAAAUUAAACAUAAAAGCCAGCCUGGUCAUCUUACUAUAUGUUCCUGCUAAAUUCUUGUUUUAUUUCCCUAAUCAUGAGUUAAUGAUUGCCUAAAGAGAUUGGUCAAUUAUAUUCUUUGGUGUAAUAUAUGGAUACAAUGUAGGUAUUGCUUAGAAUGUCUUUUACUAACAAUCGUUGAGAUUUGAACCUAGCUAUAGCUAGUUUUUCUACUUCCACAACCCAAAAGCUUUUAGGCAAACAACGUGAAGAUCAUAUAAAUCAGUUGUAAGAAUAUAUAUGUAAUGUCGAAGUUUGGUUGGUUUUUAGGUUAAGAAUAUAUAUAUAUAUACAGAGAGCUUCCAUUGAGGGAUCCAUGUAUAGCAAUGGAAGGGAAUUUUUGGAAUCACUUAAUUAUGAGGUUUUGGCAUUAGGAAUAAAUUGUUAUACUCCUAUUUCUUGUUUGUUAGUCAAGAACAUACUUAAGUUUAUUUUGUCUUUUAUUUCUGUAGAUUGGUGUUUUUUUUUUCUUCAGAGAAUUAUAUUCAGGAUCCUCUAUUGGAAACUUCCUGCAUUAUACACUUCUGAGCAGUGAGAGUAAAUUAGAAAUGAAAUAUAAAAAUAUAUACACACAUAUUUGUUUCUGCUGUCCUCAUGUAUAUAAUUCCCGGUCUCUUAUAUCAUUGUGAUGCUUUUUCCAAAGUGAAAGAAUAAUAAGGAAAACCAAAUUCCUUCAAGUCCAUGUUAGAUGUUUUCAUAUUAAGUUGGUUUUGCUAAUUGUUACAAUUAAUGGAAGGGUUUUAAUCAGGAGCUGGUUAAUUAUAUGAUGAUUUUGAACCAUAAUCGGAAACGUUGUGAAAAUGUUGCAGGAUAUUGUCGCCGUGCUGUCGAUGCUUGAUCAUCAAUAAUAAUCACCUUGUGCUGUUGGACGUUAACCUUGGAGCUAGCUCUCGUCCUUAGCAGCGGAUGAAGUCAAAACAAUAUCUUUAUAAACAGUUCGGCUAUAAAUCAGUAGCUGUAAUGUAAAAGCACAGUUUGUUUUUUAUAUCUAUUUUGAUUUUGAUUUGUGAAGAAAUUCGAUUUUGGAGGUGGUUUUUCUUUCUGUUUUAGAAGCAAGGAAACAGUAAUAUGCAGAAAGUUGGCC